GGUUAUAAAAGCUCAGUGGUAGAGCCCUUGCCUCACACGUUCAAGUCCCUGGGUUCGAUCCUCAGCACCA
rnacentral:tRNA from 1 species